rnacentral:rRNA from 1 species
CGGCACGCCUAACACAUGCAAGUCGAACGAAGUAGCAAUACUUAGUGGCAGACGGGUGAGUAACAUGUGGGUAUCUGCCCUUUGGCCUGGAAUAACACGAGGAAACUUGUGCUAAUACCGGAUAAGUCUUUACGGAGAAAGCUUUAUGCACCAUUGGAUGAGCCCGCACUUGAUUAGUUUGUUGGUGGGGUAAUGGCCUACCAAGACUGUGAUCAAUAGCUGAUUUGAGAGGAUGAUCAGCCACAUUGGGACUGAGACACGGCCCAAACUCCUACGGGAGGCAGCAGUGGGGAAUCUUGCACAAUGGAGGAAACUCUGAUGCAGCGAUGCCGCGUGAGUGAAGAAGGCCUUUGGGUUGUAAAGCUCUUUCGUCGGGGAAGAAAAUGACUGUACCCGAAUAAGAAGGUCCGGCUAACU